rnacentral:rRNA from 1 species
GUAUCCCUACGGGAGGCAGCAGUGAGGAAUAUUGGUCAAUGGGCUUACGCCUGAACCAGCCACGCCGCGUGAGGGAAGACUGCCCUAUGGGUUGUAAACCUCUUUUGUCAGGGAGCAAUUGGCGCUACGUGUAGCGUUAUCGAGAGUACCUGAAGAAAAAGCAUCGGCUAACUCCGUGCCAGCAGCCGAGGUAAUACGGAGGAUGCGAGCGUUAUCCGGAUUUAUUGGGUUUAAAGGGUGCGUAGGCGGAAUGCCAAGCCAGCGGUAAAAUCGCGG